UCAGGAUGAACGCUGGCGGCGUGCCUAACACAUGCAAGUCGAACGGGAACCUUACAGUGGAGACUUCGGUCAAAGCAGUAAGAAUUCUAGUGGCGGAUGGGUGAGUAACGGCGUGGGUAACCUACCUACAAGAAUUGGAUAACAGCGAGAAAUUGUUGCUAAUACAAUAUAAGCUUACAGUAUCGCAUGAUACAGUGAGAAAAGAUUUAUCGCUUGUAGAUGGACCCGCGUUUGAUUAGCCAGUUGGUGGGGUAGAGGCCUACCAAAGCGACGAUCAAUAGCCGGCCUGAGAGGGUGAACGGCCACAUUGGGACUGAGACACGGCCCAAACUCCUACGGGAGGCAGCAGUGGGGAAUAUUGCACAAUGGGGGAAACCCUGAUGCAGCAACGCCGCGUGAGUGAAGAAGUAUUUCGGUAUGUAAAGCUCUAUCGAUAGGGAAUAAGAUGAAGGUACCUAAGUAAGAAGCCCCGGCUAACUACGUGCCAGCCGCCGC
rnacentral:rRNA from 1 species